rnacentral:rRNA from 1 species
GACGAACGCUGGCGGCGUGCUUAACACAUGCAAGUCGAACGAGUGGCGAACGGGUGAGUAAAACGUGGGUGAUAUGCCUUGCACUUCGGGGUACGCUUGGGAAACUGGGUCGCAUACCCGACAGUGCAAGAUGAGCUUGCGGCCUAUCAGCUAGUUGGUGGGGUAAUGGCUACCAAGGUGCGACAGGUAGCCGGCCUGCGAGGGUGUACGGCCACAUUGGGACUGAGAUACGGCCCAGACUCCUACGGGAGGCAGCAGUGGGGAAUAUUGCGCAAUGGGCGGAAGCCUGAUGCAGCGACGCCGCGUGGGGGAUGAAGGCCUUCGGGUUGUAAACUCCUUUCGACAGCGACGCGGUACCUGUAUAAGAAGCACCGGCUAACUACGUGCCAGCAGCCGCGGUAAUAC